rnacentral:lncRNA from 1 species
AGGUAUGGGUAUUUGGUCCAGUUUGCAUCCCUUCAUUAUAUGGAUAGGAGUAGCGGCAGAUUUUGCCAAGAUGACGGAUUCAGACAUAUUGUUGUACUGCUUUGUAAGGUCUUCAGAAUAAUCAAUAAAAUGGCUGCAUGCAUCUUCCAGGUGCAGAGGCCGGGGGUCAUGCUCCUUUUCUAAAGAAAAAAACCUUUGCAAGUGUUUUUUUCACAGACACUAGGCAAAGAUAUACUACAUCAAACUCGAAGUGUUAAACAAGAAACAAAGCUACUCAGCACGAUUGUCUAAUCAACACAACUUAUCUUAUUCAUCGUUGCAUGGCACAUGGCAGCUAAACUACUAGGGCUACAACACCAACCCGGAAGAAAACACCACAUAUGUAGACAUGUAGUAUGUACGCACCUACUACAGUGUGUACAACACUCCGUAGCCAUCUAUUCGCCGCGGCGGACGUCGCCGGUGAAGACUCUAGAUCUUNNNNN